CUGUAGCCAAUUAAGCCACCGUCCUCCUUUCCCUAUGGGGCCCAGUGUACCAUGGCUGCAGAGAGGAGCCGCCUUGGUAGUAUAAGCGGCCUUAUGCAUGUAUGAGUUCUCUAUGGGACCUUGGAGACCACC
rnacentral:snoRNA from 1 species